GGACUACACGGGUUUCUAAUCCUGUUUGCUCCCCACGCUUUCGCGUCUCAGCGUCAGUAAUCUUCCAGGUGGCCGCCUUCGCCACAGGUGUUCCUCCCGAUAUCUACGAAUUUCACCUCUACACCGGGAAUUCCGCCACCCCCUCCGAUACUCAAGCUUAGCAGUAUCGGACGCAGUUCCUUGGUUAAGCCAAGGGAUUUCACGUCCGACUUAUUAAGCCGCCUACACGCGCUUUACGCCCAGUAAUUCCGAACAACGCUUGCACCCUCUGUAUUACCGCGGCUGCUGGCAC
rnacentral:rRNA from 1 species